CCUACGGGAGGCUGCAGUGGGGAAUAUUGGACAAUGGGCGAAAGCCUGAUCCAGCCAUGCCGCGUGUGUGAAGAAGGCCUUCGGGUUGUAAAGCACUUUCAGUGGGGAAGAAAGCCUUGGGGCUAAUACCCUCGAGGAAGGACAUCACCCACAGAAGAAGCACCGGCUAACUCCGUGCCAGCAGCCGCGGUAAUACGGAGGGUGCGAGCGUUAAUCGGAAUUACUGGUCGUAAAGCGCGCGUAGGCGGUCUGAUAAGCCGGUUGUGAAAGCCCCGGGCUCAACCUGGGAACGGCAUCCGGAACUGUCAGGCUAGAGUGCAGGAGAGGAAGGUAGAAUUCCCGGUGUAGCGGUGAAAUGCGUAGAGAUCGGGAGGAAUACCAGUGGCGAAGGCGGCCUUCUGGACUGACACUGACGCUGAGGUGCGAAAGCGUGGGUAGCAAACAGGAUUAGAUACCCGUGUAGUC
rnacentral:rRNA from 1 species